rnacentral:rRNA from 1 species
UACGGAGGGUGCGAGCGUUAUCCGGAAUCACUGGGUUUAAAGGGUGCGUAGGCGGUCGGAUAAGUCAGUCGUGAAAUGCCCCGGCUCAACCGGCGGAACUGCGAUUGAUACUGUCCGACUUGAAUCGGGUUUAGGCAGGCGGAAUGUGACAUGUAGCGGUGAAAUGCUUAGAUAUGUCAUAGAACACCGAUUGCGAAGGCAGCUUGCUGGGCCUUGAUUGACGCUGAGGCACGAAAGCGUGGGGAGCAAACAGG